rnacentral:rRNA from 1 species
UACAGGGGGUGCAACCGUUGCUCGGAAUCAUUGGGCGUAAAGCGCACGUAGGCGGUUCGUUAUGUCGGAUGUGAAAGCCCUUGGCUUAACCGAGGAAGUGCAUCCGAAACUGGCGAGCUAGAGUACUAAAGAGGAUCGCGGAAUUCCCGGUGUAGAGGUGAAAUUCGUAGAUAUCGGGAGGAACACCGGUGGCGAAGGCGGCGAUCUGGACGAUGACUGACGCUGAGACGCGAAAGCGUGGGGAGCAAACAGG